UACGGGGGGGGCAAGCGUUGUUCGGAAUUACUGGGCGUAAAGGGCUCGUAGGCGGCCAACUAAGUCGGACGUGAAAUCCCCAGGCUCAACCUGGGAACGGCAUCCGAUACUGGAGGGCUUGAAUUCGGGAGAGGGAUGCAGAAUUCCAGGUGUAGCGGUGAAAUGCGUAGAUAUCUGGAGGAACACCGGUGGCGAAGGCGGCAUCCUGGACCGAAACUGACACUGAGGCGCGAAAGCCAGGGGAGCAAACGGG
rnacentral:rRNA from 1 species